rnacentral:rRNA from 1 species
GGGACGGGUGAGUAAUGUCUGGGAAACGUGCCUGAUGGAGGGGGAUAACUACUGGAAACGGUAGCUAAUACCGCAUAACGUCGCAAGACCAAAGAGGGGGACCGUUCGGGCCUCUUGCCAUCGGAUGUGCCCAGAUGGGAUUAGCUAGUAGGUGGGGUAACGGCUCACCUAGGCGACGAUCCCUAGCUGGUCUGAGAGGAUGACCAGCCACACUGAAACUGAGACACGGUCCAG